rnacentral:rRNA from 1 species
CAGUAGCCGCGGUAAUACGUAGGGUGCAAGCGUUAAUCGGAAUUACUGGGCGUAAAGCGUGCGCAGGCGGUUCUAUAAGACAGAUGUGAAAUCCCCGGGCUCAACCUGGGAACUGCAUUUGUGACUGUAGAGCUGGAGUGCGGCAGAGGGGGAUGGAAUUCCGCGUGUAGCAGUGAAAUGCGUAGAUAUGCGGAGGAACACCGAUGGCGAAGGCAAUCCCCUGGGCCUGCACUGACGCUCAUGCACGAAAGCGUGGGGAGCAAACAGGAUUAGAUACCCGCGUAGUCCCUGUCUCUUAUAC